UACAGAGGUCUCAAGCGUUGUUCGGAUUCAUUGGGCGUAAAGGGUGCGUAGGCGGCCAACUAAGUCGGAUGUGAAAUCCCCAGGCUCAACCUGGGAACUGCAUCCGAUACUGGAUGGCUUGAAUCCGGGAGAGGGAUGCAGAAUUCCAGGUGUAGCGGUGAAAUGCGUAGAUAUCUGGAGGAAUACCGGUGGCGAAGGCGACUACCUGGCCUGUUCUUGACGCUGAGGCGCGAAAGCUAGGGGAGCAAACGGG
rnacentral:rRNA from 1 species